rnacentral:lncRNA from 1 species
ACAUUGGAUUGCAGCAUGUUGAUAUGCUCGUGAGCCUUAAGGCAUCUUGGGAGUAGAUGACUACGAGGUUCAUUUGCUGUAGUAGAUGCCUUGUACCCCACAAAUUGCCAGAUGCCUGAUUUCUCUGGAGUCCACCGAACUGCCCUUUGUCUGCUAUUAGAGCUGCCUCAACGGCUCUCAAUUGUUUUCAGGUAAUAAGCUCUCAAAUUCGUCUCAACUGUUGUUCUGCAAUUGCCAUCCUACUAUACGUCUCUACAUCACUCAAUUCUCUCCGGUCCUACCAUUUCCCUCUCUUCCAAUUAUCUAUCUGCUUUAUAUCUAGGUGCAUUCGAUUCCUGGAUGGCCAAGGAGGUGUCACUACUCAACCACGGAACCGUGAAACCGGAUGAAGUGAUGUUUGGCUAUAACUCACUUGACCGCAUCUUUUUGGAGAAAUGACAGGACUAUUGUUUGGUUGCAAAAAAAAGUAAGUAGUUAAAUGCAUCUUUUGAAUUAUAUGGACAAGAAAAGGUAACAAUUAAGAACGGUAAAAGGUGGUAAAAUGGGGAGAAAAAUGAGGGGUGGAAGACUUAAAACCAUCUGGUUAAAGUUAUUCUUCCUCUUCCUUGAAACAUCUUUAACCAUGAUUGGUUGGUUCGGUGCACCGGUAAUUGGUGCAUCUCCGUACAUGGUCUGUCGUUCUUG